AGGUUUGUCCCUAUGAAAUCAAUCACCCCAGCUCCUGUUGCAUAUAAUGAAUCUCGAACUGCUUUCAAGCCCUUGAAGAAAACACCAGAACUGAAAAAUACCUCAUUUGGUCAAAGUGCUGCUUGAUUCACACAAGACUCUAGGACAGAGAAAAUGCCAGGUCCUGGGUUUUAUAAUAUCCCAAACAAUACUUUAAUUGACAACUUUAGCAAUACCUGCUUGAAGAAACAAAAGAAAAGUGCAUUUGGUUCUUCUGUUCCUCAGACUCUCUUCCUGGUUCAGAAAGAAGUUUUUCCUACUCCUGGGCCUGCUGGCUAUAAGGCCUGUGAAAUUUCUGAUGAACUACCUAACUUGACUAAUUGAUAUGCUGCUUUCUCGUCAAGAACAGAAAGAACUACUAAAGUAUCAGAUAUGGAUGUUCCAGCACCAGGCACCUAUGAUGUUCAAAAAUCAUAUGAGAUGUCUCAAGUUCAACAUAAAUACAUGCCACCUCGUAGUUUGGUGGCCAGAAUAAAACAUGCCUCGUUUCUUAGCACAACUCGUCGGUGCCUGGACAAAAUGAAUGAUGGGCCAGCUGCUCAUAAUGACUGAAUAAGAACAGAAUGAGAAGAAAACCAACAUACAAUGGACAGCGAGUCUGAGAAAGGGCUUGCAACAUACAAUCCUGUUUUAAAGAAAUCUUGCUCCAUACCCUUAUUUGUUAAAGCAUCAAAGCGUUUUAAAGACUCCAAAGAGAUUACUCCUGGUCCAGCGACACAUGAG